GAUGGUUAGCGGCGGACGGGUGAGUAACACGUGGGUAACCUGCCUGUAAGACUGGGAUAACUCCGGGAAACCGGAGCUAAUACCGGAUAGUUCCUUGAACCGCAUGGUUCAAGGAUGAAAGACGGUUUCGGCUGUCACUUACAGAUGGACCCGCGGCGCAUUAGCUAGUUGGUGGGGUAAUGGCUCACCAAGGCGACGAUGCGUAGCCGACCUGAGAGGGUGAUCGGCCACACUGGGACUGAGACACGGCCCAGACUCCUACGGGAGGCAGCAGUAGGGAAUCUUCCGCAAUGGACGAAAGUCUGACGGAGCAACGCCGCGUGAGUGAUGAAGGUUUUCGGAUCGUAAAGCUCUGUUGUUAGGGAAGAACAAGUGCGAGAGUAACUGCUCGCACCUUGACGGUACCUAACCAGAAAGCCACGGCUAACUACGUGCCAGCAGCCGCGGUAAUACGUAGGUGGCAAGCGUUGUCCGGAAUUAUUGGGCGUAAAGGGCUCGCAGGCGGUUUCUUAAGUCUGAUGUGAAAGCCCCCGGCUCAACCGGGGAGGGUCAUUGGAAACUGGGAAACUUGAGUGCAGAAGAGGAGAGUGGAAUUCCACGUGUAGCGGUGAAAUGCGUAGAGAUGUGGAGGAACACCAGUGGCGAAGGCGACUCUCUGGUCUGUAACUGACGCUGAGGAGCGAAAGCGUGGGGAGCGAACAGGAUUAGAUACCCUGGUAGUCCACGCCGUAAACGAUGAGUGCUAAGUGUUAGGGGGUUUCCGCCCCUUAGUGCUGCAGCUAACGCAUUAAGCACUCCGCCUGGGGAGUACGGUCGCAAGACUGAAACUCAAAGGAAUUGACGGGGGCCCGCACCAGCGGUGGAGCAUGUGGUUUAAUUCGAAGCAACGCGAAGAACCUUACCAGGUCUUGACAUCCUCUGACAACCCUAGAGAUAGGGCUUUCCCUUCGGGGACAGAGUGACAGGUGGUGCAUGGUUGUCGUCAGCUCGUGUCGUGAGAUGUUGGGUUAAGUCCCGCAACGAGCGCAACCCUUGAUCUUAGUUGCCAGCAUUUAGUUGGGCACUCUAAGGUGACUGCCGGUGACAAACCGGAGGAAGGUGGGGAUGACGUCAAAUCAUCAUGCCCCUUAUGACCUGGGCUACACACGUGCUACAAUGGACAGAACAAAGGGCUGCGAGACCGCAAGGUUUAGCCAAUCCCAUAAAUCUGUUCUCAGUUCGGAUCGCAGUCUGCAACUCGACUGCGUGAAGCUGGAAUCGCUAGUAAUCGCGGAUCAGCAUGC
rnacentral:rRNA from 2 species